GGAAGGGGUGUAUUUAUUAGAUAAAAAACCAACGCCCUUCGGGGCUUCUUGGUGAUUCAUGAUAACUUCACGGAUCGCAUGGCCUUGCGCCGGCGACGGUUCAUUCAAAUUUCUGCCCUAUCAACUUUCGAUGGUAAGGUAUUGGCUUACCAUGGUUUCAACGGGUAACGGGGAAUUAGGGUUCGAUUCCGGAGAGGGAGCCUGAGAAACGGCUACCACAUCCAAGGAAGGCAGCAGGCGCGCAAAUUACCCAAUCCCGACACGGGGAGGUAGUGACAAUAAAUACUGAUACAGGGCUCUUUUGAGUCUUGUAAUUGGAAUGAGUACAAUUUAAACCUCUUAACGAGGAACAAUUGGAGGGCAAGUCUGGUGCCAGCAGCCGCGGUAAUUCCAGCUCCAACAGCGUAUAUUAAAGUUGUUGCAGUUAAAAAGCUCGUAGUUGAAACUUGGGCCUGGCUGGCAGGUCCGCCUCACCGCGUGUACUUGUCCGGCCGGGCCUUUCCUUCUGGAGAACCUCAUGCCCUUCACUGGGUGUGUUGGGGAACCAGGACUUUUAC
rnacentral:rRNA from 1 species